UACGAAGGGGGCUAGCGUUGUUCGGAUUUACUGGGCGUAAAGCGCACGUAGGCGGAUCGUUAAGUCGGGGGUGAAAUCCUGGAGCUCAACUCCAGAACUGCCUUCGAUACUGGCGAUCUUGAGUCCGGAAGAGGUGAGUGGAACUCCUAGUGUAGAGGUGGAAUUCGUAGAUAUUAGGAAGAACACCAGUGGCGAAGGCGGCUCACUGGUCUGGCAUUGACGCUCAUGUGCGAAAGCGUGGGGAGCAAACAGG
rnacentral:rRNA from 1 species